AAGCAUUUGAUUUAAUAAUAUGCUUUAGUAUUAUAGUUACUUGUAAGGUGUUUAGCACUUAAAUUCCAAAUAUAUACAUACUUAACAAUGCAACAGCUUGAAAAUAAAAACAGGAUAAUCCAAAGCAAGGGAAGUGUUAAAAUGUAUUACCCGACCAGCAACUAGAAAAAUCUCCUAUGAUAUAUGCAAAACAGAGAUACUGUAUAGUCUAAUUCAUUUGAACUUGACACUGCAAGUAAGUCACUGAUAUUCUCAUGUACAAGAUGAGCGUGUUUCAGCAUGUCACGCCACAAACGGAGACUUCAUCCAUCACAUCCUCUAUUGCUUUUUGCGAGCAUAGCUUGAAUAGUGGCAAUUGAUUGGGAAUCCUACGACAUAAACGGCCGUCAAUAUAAGCUAACAAACCAGACAGGAUAAAUCUGGCGAUGCCCCAUUUUUGAAGGAAAUUCACUUUCUGCACUUUCUGAAUAAUAGAGUUUGCAGGCUCAUCUGAAUGAUCACCAACCUCUGACUGAUUUUCCCGCUUAAUGCUCAAAACGAACUUGUUAGCCUGCCUUCGCAGUAUGCGUAUUGCAAAGCUAACAAAAAGAUGUUCGCACAAUGUCAAUAAUGUUGGUCCUAUUCGCCAUUCCUGCAACAAAGAGUUUCUGAAUCAAUGUGUUCGUACAUGACUGGGUAGAUUACUUAAGGAUUAUGCCAUUGUUGAUUGUAUACAGCAAGAAGCAUAUAAAUUACCCUUUACAAAAACAAGUCAAGCACGCAAUAUGGAUUAAACUUUAACUGUAAAAUCAAGCGUAACAUUUUGAAGCACCUCCAAACUAAAUUAAUGCAUUCCAAGAUGCAAAGUAUUAGUUUGGGAAUUCUUGAUAGCAAGUAUAUUUUGUAUUUAAUAUUUGAUUUUUUUGGUAGGACACUAAGACUCCUAAGAUAGCUGAUUUUGUUUUCAUAUGAUUGUAAUAUUAUGGGAUUGUAUUU